AAACCAACAGGGAUUGCCUCAGUAACGGCGAGUGAAGCGGCAAAAGCUCAAAUUUGAAAUCUGAGGCUCUCCAGCCCCCGAGUUGUAAUUUGAAGAUGGUGUUCUGGUGCCGGCGCCCUGUCUACGUUCCUUGGAACAGGACAUCGCAGAGGGUGAGAAUCCCGUGUGGCGGGGCGGCCUGGCUCCGUGUAGAGCGCCAUCGACGAGUCGAGUUGUUUGGGAAUGCAGCUCUAAGUGGGUGGUAAAUUCCAUCUAAAGCUAAAUAUUGGCGAGAGACCGAUAGCGAACAAGUACAGUGAUGGAAAGAUGAAAAGAACUUUGAAAAGAGAGUGAAAAAGUACGUGAAAUUGUUGAAAGGGAAGGGUAUUGGAUCAGACUUGGUGCUGUGCGAAUAGCGGCCCUUCUUGGGCUGCCCACUCGCACUCCACCGGGCCAGCAUCGGUUUGGGCGGCAAGACAAUGGCGGCGGAACGUGGCACUGCUCCCGGGCAGUGUGUUUAUAGCCCCCGCUGAUGUUGCCUGCCUAGACCGAGGACUGCGGCUUCUGCCUAGGAUGCUGGCGUAAUGAUCCAACACCGC
rnacentral:rRNA from 1 species